CCUUCAAUUCUUGAUUUCUAACAAAAAAUCUUUGAGUAUCUAAUGAUGAAAUUGUGUACCUUUACUCGAAUGCAUCUCAUCUUUGAAAAUAGUGGAAGAAAACUAUUUCUUCAACCCUGCUCCCUGUCCCGGGUUGGGGACAGGGAGAUUUAUUCCUAUUUCUUCUGGUGAAGGUGCAGGGACCCUUGCACCUUUUUCCAUUUCCGUGCAAUUUGGUUCUUCAAUUGCCUUUCUUGUGGUCCCUUUAAUUUUCAAAUUUGAUACUUUGGUCCUCAAUUCCAAAUUCGUCCAACUUUAGUCCUUAUUGAUCAAAUCUUGUUCCUGUCAUCCUUUCUCGUAAAAUAAUCAAUAAACGCACAAAAUUAAGUAUCUAACCCACAAAAGAACUCCCAAACGUAAGUGUAAAAAUCAAA
rnacentral:lncRNA from 1 species